GAUGAACGCUGGCGGCGUGCCUAAUACAUGCAAGUCGAGCGAACGGACGAGAAGCUUGCUUCUCUGAUGUUAGCGGCGGACGGGUGAGUAACACGUGGAUAACCUACCUAUAAGACUGGGAUAACUUCGGGAAACCGGAGCUAAUACCGGAUGAUAUUUUGAACCGCAUGGUUCAAAAGUGAAAGGCGGUCUUGCUGUCACUUAUAGAUGGAUCCGCGCUGCAUUAGCUAGUUGGUAAGGUAACGGCUUACCAAGGCAACGAUGCAUAGCCGACCUGAGAGGGUGAUCGGCCACACUGGAACUGAGACACGGUCCAGACUCCUACGGGAGGCAGCAGUAGGGAAUCGUCCGCAAUGGGCGAAAGCCUGACGGAGCAACGCCGCGUGAGUGAUGAAGGUCUUCGGAUCGUAAAACUCUGUUAUUAGGGAAGAACAUAUGUGUAAGUAACUGUGCACAUCUUGACGGUACCUAAUCAGAAAGCCACGGCUAACUACGUG
rnacentral:rRNA from 1 species